rnacentral:sRNA from 1 species
CCAGUUCUCAGGCGAGAGCCGCGGCUGACAGGGUCUGGGACAGAAGGAAAGCCCUCCAGCCUCCAGGCCCUGCCUUCUGCCUGCACAUUCUGCCCUGAUUUCCGGAACCUGGAAGCCUAGGCAGGCAGUGGGGAACUCUGACUCGCCUGUGCUCUGGAGCUUGAUCCGAAAGCUUCCACAGUGAGGACUGCUCCGUGGGGGUAAGAGAGCACCAGGCACUGAGGCCUGGGAGUUCCACAGACCAACACCCCUGCUCCUGGCGGCUCCCACCCGGGACUUAGACCCUCAGGUCCCUAAUAUCCCGGAGGUGCUCUCAAUCAGAAAGGUCCUGCUCCGCUUCGCAGUGGAAUGGAACGGAUUUAGAAGCCUGCAGUAGGGGAGUGGGGAGUGGAGAGAGGGAGCCCAGAGUUACAGACGGCGGCGAGAGGAAGGAGGGGCGUCUUUAUUUUUUUAAGGCCCCAAAGAGUCUGAUGUUUACAAGACCAGAAAUGCCACGGCCGCGUCCUGGCAGAGAAAAGGCUGAAAUGGAGGACCGGCGCCUUCCUUAUAAGCUCGUUGGGGCCUAAGCCAGUACCGACCUGGUAGAAAAAGCAACCACGAAGCUAGAGAGAGAGCCAGAGGAGGGAAGAGAGCGCCAGACGAAGGUGAAAGCGAACCACGCAGAGAAAUGCAGGCAAGGGAGCAAGGCGGCAGUUCCCGGAACAAACGUGGCAGAGGGCAAGACGGGCACUCACAGACAGAGGUUUAUGUAUUUUUAUUUUUUAAAAUCUGAUUUGGUGUUCCAUGAGGAAAAGGGAAAAUCUAGGGAACGGGAGUACAGAGAGAAUAAUCCGGGUCCUAGCUCGCCACAUGAACGCCCAGAGAACGCUGGAAAAACCUGAGCGGGUGCCGGGGCAGCACCCGGCUCGGGUCAGCCACUGCCCCACACCGGGCCCACCAAGCCCCGCCCCUCGCGGCCACCGGGGCUUCCUUGCUCUUCUUAUCAUCUCCAUCUUUAUGAUGAGGCUUGUUAACAAGACCAGAGAGCUGGCCAAGCACCUCUAUCUCAGCCGCGCCCGCUCAGCCGAGCAGCGGUCGGUGGGGGGACUGGGAGGCGCUAAUUAAUUGAUUCCUUUGGACUGUAAAAUAUGGCGGCGUCUACACGGAACCCAUGGACUCAUAAACAAUAUAUCUGUUGGGCGUGAGUGCACUGUCUCUCAAAUAAUUUUUCCAUAGGCAAAUGUCAGAGGGUUCUGGAUUUUUAGUUGCUAAGGAAAGAUCCAAAUGGGACCAAUUUUAGGAGGCCCAAACAGAGUCCGUUCAGUGUCAGAAAAUGCUUCCCCAAAGGGGUUGGGAGUGUGUUUUGUUGGAAAAAAGCUUGGGUUAUAGGAAAGCCUUUCCCUGCUACUUGUGUAGACCCAGCCCAAUUUAAGAAUUACAAGGAAGCGAAGGGGUUGUGUAGGCCGGAAGCCUCUCUGUCCCGGCUGGAUGCAGGGGACUUGAGCUGCUCCGGAAUUUGAGAGGAACAUAGAAGCAAAGGUCCAGCCUUUGCUUCGUGCUGAUUCCUAGACUUAAGAUUCAAAAACAAAUUUUUAAAAGUGAAACCAGCCCUAGCCUUUGGAAGCUCUUGAAGGUUCAGCACCCACCCAGGAAUCCACCUGCCUGUUACACGCCUCUCCAAGACACAGUGGCACCGCUUUUCUAACUGGCAGCACAGAGCAACUCUAUAAUAUGCUUAUAUUAGGUCUAGAAGAAUGCAUCUUGAGACACAUGGGUAACCUAAUUAUAUAAUGCUUGUUCCAUACAGGAGUGAUUAUGCAGUGGGACCCUGCUGCAAACGGGACUUUGCACUCUAAAUAUAGACCCCAGCUUGGGACAAAAGUUGCAGUAGAAAAAUAGACAUAGGAGAACACUUAAAUAAGUGAUGCAUGUAGACACAGAAGGGGUAUUUAAAAGACAGAAAUAAUAGAAGUACAGAAGAACAGAAAAAAAAUCAGCAGAUGGAGAUUACCAUUCCCAAUGCCUGAACUUCCUCCUGCUAUUAAGAUUGCUAGAGAAUUGUGUCUUAAACAGUUCAUGAACCCAGAAGAAUGCAAUUUCAAUGUAUUUAGUACACACACAGUAUGUAUAUAAACACAACUCACAGAAUAUAUUUUCCAUACAUUGGGUAGGUAUGCACUUUGUGUAUAUAUAAUAAUGUAUUUUCCAUGCAGUUUUAAAAUGUAGAUAUAUUAAUAUCUGGAUGCAUUUUCUGUGCACUGGUUUUAUAUGCCUUAUGGAGUAUAUACUCACAUGUAGCUAAAUAGACUCAGGACUGCACAUUCCUUGUGUAGGUUGUGUGUGUGUGGUGGUUUUAUGCAUAAAUAAAGUUUUACAUGUGGUGAAUAUAAA